rnacentral:lncRNA from 1 species
UUUAGUGUGUUGACUUAGGAGUUUUAUUUUGCUCUCUGUGUACUGGCAUUUGUUUGCAUGGAACAUGCUUUAUUGGGUAGUAUUCAUUGCAUUCUGUCUGGCAGUGAGUCCAGGUCACAUUGUAGGAAAACAAAGUGCCAUGUAAGUGAUAACAAACCUCAUAUGUAUUUAGCAUCUAUGGUUUUUAAUAAGAAAAACAUUAGCAGAAAAGGGGAUUACACUUGAGUUUAUAAUGAAGAAAAGAAAUUUUGAUCAUAAUAACAUGUAUAUACUAGAUACUGGAAAAAUUUGAAAACAAAAAAGAAAUGAGUGACUCUGCUGUUUUUGACACUGAAAGGCUGUACAGUUCUUUGAGAUGGGAGUUAGUAAAAAUGAACAUAUAAAUGUUCCAAAUAAUUUGAGAAAGAAGUCUCUAAAAAUCCAAUGCAGUCAUGCAAAGGAACUGUCAGACUAACAGCUUAGAUUUAGUA